rnacentral:rRNA from 1 species
GAUGAACGCUGGCGGCGUGCCUAAUACAUGCAAGUCGAGCGAACAGACGAGGAGCUUGCUCCUCUGACGUUAGCGGCGGACGGGUGAGUAACACGUGGAUAACCUACCUAUAAGACUGGGAUAACUUCGGGAAACCGGAGCUAAUACCGGAUAAUAUAUUGAACCGCAUGGUUCAAUAGUGAAAGACGGUUUUGCUGUCACUUAUAGAUGGAUCCGCGCCGCAUUAGCUAGUUGGUAAGGUAACGGCUUACCAAGGCGACGAUGCGUAGCCGACCUGAGAGGCUGACCGGCCACACUGGAACUGAGACACGGUCCAGACUCCUACGGGAGGCAGCAGUAGGGAAUCUUCCGCAAUGGGCGAAAGCCUGACGGAGCAACGCCGCGUGAGUGAUGAAGGUCUUCGGAUCGUAAAACUCUGUUAUUAGGGAAGAACAAAUGUGUAAGUAACUAUGCACGUCUUGACGGUACCUAAUCAGAAAGCCACGGCUAACUACGUG